ensembl:lncRNA
UGUAGAUCCUGUGUGGUUCUGUGGGACCAGUUCCUUCACACACUGCAGUGAGAAGGUGUUUGUUUUGUGAUCUCAUGUAUCACAGACUGGCCUUGAACUAUUGAGAAUGACCUUAAACUUUUGAUCCAACUUACCUCCAGAGUGCUGGGCUUACAGGACUGAGCCACCAUGCCUGGUUUACGGAAUUCUGGCUAUCAAACCUAGGGUUUUGUUCAUGCUAAGUAGAUCCUACCAACUAAACUCCAAUCCCAGGCCCAGGUUUUUCAUGUAGUUAGCUAACAAUGUACCCAUUUUUUUUUUCAAUUCAGUUUGGUGAUUGCCUCUAUUGGUGUGUCUCCUACUUUUCUCCAUAAUUCAGUCCUUUCCAUCUACCCCACCAAAAGAAGGUAGUAAAAGGAAGCGACUGCACCAGGCGUUGGUGGCACACUCCUUUAAUCUCAGCACUCGGAGGCAGAGGCAGGUGGAUCGCUGUGAGUUCGAGUGAGUGCCAGGAUAGGCUCUAAAGCUACACAGAGAAACCCUGUCUCAAAAAACCAAAAAAAAAAAAAAAAAAAAAAAGCGACUGUUAGGGUUCUGAAUCCCUUGAGCAGUUAGAAAGGGAAUAGAAACUAGAACAAUCACUGGAUGUCACAGAGGUUGUUAAUGAAGAAGCUGAGCAGGGAUGGAGGACAAACUGACAUGCCAGAGACCUGAGUCUCCAUUGCCUUGCUAAGGGCCUAGGGAGACUAGCUCAAACGUCUAAAGGCAGGUCCUGAAGAAGGGAGAUGGUGCUUCCUCCCAAGGGGGAAGAAAGGUGUUGAGUCAAGGAAGGGGCUUCCCCUUUCUUUGUAGACUAGAACUCCCCACCUAGGACAGCAGCUUUGAAGACUACAGACACCUCAUCAAUGUAGGCAAUAUAUGGAAAGAAGUCUUCGUGGUGUUCCUGUUUUAGCUGACCUAUCACAGCCUUGCUGGUGGAAUGAUGUUGCUGACAAAGAGAAACAAGGCAGGACACAGCUGUAUUUGCUUCUGGAUCAAAAAGUAGAGUUGAGAAAGCACCAGGUAUUUAUUUGAGAAGGCAUCAGGUAUUUCUUUGUGUCUACAUCUAGAUAAGUAUUCCUUGCCAUCAAGGAAAUACUUAUAAUUGUUGACCUUAAACUAGAGCACAUACCUGUUACUGGCUAAGUAUUACAGACCUAGGCAUGUAGUGACGGAGGAAAGCAAGAACUGACAUUUGUCUCCGAGGGCUAGAGACUUAACAUGACAAUCUCUUGAGUUCUACAGUGGCUUAAGGAAGAUGGAGAGUGACCCCACAGAUGCUAGACAGAUAAAUGCAGAAGGGCCAGGAUAUGGGACCAAAAGUUAAACCAGGCUAGACAUAUGUGAGACUUCUGGGUAUAAAGUACAGUGCCAGGACUGUGGGAAUGGCUUAGUGGGUGGAGGCAUUUGCUGCUGAGCCUAGCUAACUGGCUUAGAGUAGGUUCUUUAAGCCAAGUUUGUUGUUGUUGUUGUUGUUUGCUUUGAGACAAGGUGUCAUAUAGCCCAGGCUUGCCUUAAACUCUAGAUUCUCCUCCUUCCUGAGUGUUAGGAUUAUAGGCUUGCUUCUCACUAGGCCCAGCAAGGGUUCUUGUCUGAGUGAUUUAUUGAUGGUACUCUCCAGAGAACCCUCUGGGGAAGUGAGGAGCAGCAGAGAGCAGAGACAAAAUCUAACCCAAGAUAACUGCAGCCCAAGUUUCCCCUCUUCCCAGUGGCACAGCAAGCCUUGGAGUGUCAAUGGCACCAGAGUAUACUGCCCACCCAGAGCAAGGGACCAGCCUUGGCACCUCCAGCCCAUACCCAGAAAUGCCCAAGAUGACAGCCAGGUUUUGUGAGUGUGAAGUUUCAGGGCAUAGCGUCCGUGUGGCCUUCUUGGCAAGCUACUGGUAGCUUCAGUGAACUUGUCUGCUGGGGAGAUCCUAAUCCUGGAACCCUUUCCCAAACACUAAUGAUACUUGGUAAAACACACACAUGCAUAGAGAAGGAGAAGGAAUGUGUUCAUGUGUCAUUAGCCCAGGUUGUCCUAAAACUCACUAUCCAAAGCCAGGCAGUAGUGGCACAUGCCUUUAAUCCCAG